UGAAUUCAGCAGUAUGCGAACCUCCUCC
rnacentral:sRNA from 1 species